GGUUUGAUGUUUUAUGUUGGCCUCUUUGACAAUUUUAGAAUCAUUCAGGUUACCAUUCUAGUUGUUGCAGUGCCUGAAUGCCUACCUUUGGUCAUUACCUUGACGGAAGUAGCAGCUACCACUUUUUUCUUAGGUUGUAAUAAUACUGGCAGAUAGUUUUCUCAUAGCAGUAUUGCUCUAAUUUAUCUCAUCAUCUUUUGCAUUUGGACUUCAACUUGUAACAGGCUAGCAUACUCAAUGAAAAAAAUUAUAGGAGAUAUGGCAUUGGCAAGUAUCUUUUUUUUAGUAUUUCCCCUUUGGCUAGUUUGCCAACAUCAUUUGUAAUGUUUUCCUUCUGCAAUUACUGCUAACAGCAUUUGUGUGCAGGGGCAUCACAAAGAACCUGUGGGUUGCAAUCCUGCAACUGCUUCUUUAUCAGCUUAUUUCGCCUGAUUUUGUCAACCCAUUAUCCAAUCUUUUCUUAAGGCUUCCUUUUUCCCGAAGGUUACAGAGAGGGAUUAAAAACAACUAUUAAAGGAAAAAUGCGGGGAUGUUUAUGCUUUGCUUUUCUAUCUACUGGCGGUUGGAAGUGGCAUUUUGAUUGGUGGAUUAGAGGCUUGAGAAGAGGAAGAUAUAUGCAUGUUUGUGGACAGCGAAGACUCGGAAAGUAUACACCCAAGAUGAACUUGACGAGGUCUGCAUUGAAGUAGCUGACUAUUUGUAGACUUUGCUAUAGAUGCUGACUCUACCAAAGUGAUUUUGAGUAAGGCUAGCUAGAUUUUGUAGAAUCAUUUUGAAGUAGAAUGUUGUACAAUUGCAGGUGAACUAAACUGCAUAUAGUUAUUGCAAUGGUCUAUUUUGGGCUAGCCUUGAUGUAGGUUGGAGUGUUUUUGUCUAUUUUUGAAACUAUUAAUAAUUCUGCUGUUCGACAGAAAUUAAUGCAAU